AUCGAACGCUGGCGGCAGGCCUAACACAUGCAAGUCGAACGGCAGCGGGGAGUAGCUUGCUACUCUGCCGGCGAGUGGCGGACGGGUGAGUAAUGCCUGGGGAGCUGCCCAAUCGAGGGGGAUACCAGUUGGAAACAACUGCUAAUACCGCAUACGCCCUGAGGGGGAAAGGUGGGGAUCUUCGGACCUACCGCGAUUGGAUGCACCCAGGUGGGAUUAGCUAGUUGGUGAGGUAACGGCUCACCAAGGCGACGAUCUCUAGCUGGUCUGAGAGGAUUACCAGCCACACGGGAACUGAGACACGGUCCAGACUCCUACGGGAGGCAGCAGUGGGGAAUAUUGCACAAUGGGGGAAACCCUGACGCAGCCAUGCCGCGUGUGUGAAGAAGGCCUUCGGGUUGUAAAGCACUUUCAGCGAGGAGGAAAGGGGUGAUGCUAAUACCAUCAUCCUGUGACGUUACUCGCAGAAGAAGCACCGGCUAACCCCGUGCCAGCCGCCGCCGUAAAAC
rnacentral:rRNA from 1 species